UACAGAGGUCUCAAGCGUUGUUCGGAAUCACUGGGCGUAAAGCGUGCGUAGGCUGUUUCGUAAGUCGUGUGUGAAAGGCGCGGGCUCAACCCGCGGACGGCACAUGAUACUGCGAGACUAGAGUAAUGGAGGGGGAACCGGAAUUCUCGGUGUAGCAGUGAAAUGCGUAGAUAUCGAGAGGAACACUCGUGGCGAAGGCGGGUUCUUGGACAUUAACUGACGCUGAGGCACGAAGGCCAGGGGAGCGAAAGGG
rnacentral:rRNA from 1 species